CACUGAGGUAAUUUAAUGGGGAGAUGGGAGCACUGAGGUUUGGGAGAUGGGGAGCACGGAGGUAAAUAAUGGGAGAUGGGGAGCACUGAGGUAAAUAAUGGGAGAUGGGGAGCACUGAGGUAAAUAAUGGGGAGAUGGGGAUCACUGAGGUAAAUACUGGGAGAUGGGGAGCACUGAGGUAAAUAAUGGGAGA